UGGUCCCACCUGACCCCAUGCCGAACUCAGAAGUGAAACGCCGUAGCGCCGAUGGUAGUGUGGGGUCUCCCCAUGUGAGAGUAGGGAACUGCCAGGC
rnacentral:rRNA from 15 species